rnacentral:rRNA from 1 species
AUACAGAGGGUGCGAGCGUUAAUCGGAAUUACUGGGCGUAAAGCGCGCGUAGGCGGCUUGGUCAGUCGGAUGUGAAAGCCCCGGGCUUAACCUGGGAAUUGCAUUCGAUACUGCCAGGCUAGAAUGUAGUAGAGGGAAGUGGAAUUCCGGGUGUAGCGGUGAAAUGCGUAGAUAUCCGGAGGAACAUCAGUGGCGAAGGCGACUUCCUGGACUAACAUUGACGCUGAGGUGCGAAAGCGUGGGGAGCAAACAGGAUUAGAAACCCCAGUAGUCC